rnacentral:rRNA from 1 species
UCAAAACUUUUCAGCUAGAGUAUGAUAGAGGAAAGCAGAAUUUCUAGUGUAGAGGUGAAAUUCGUAGAUAUUAGAAAGAAUACCAAUUGCGAAGGCAGCUUUCUGGAUCAUUACUGACACUGAGGAACGAAAGCAUGGGUAGCGAAGAGGAUUAGAUACCCUCGUAGUCCAUGCCGUAAACGAUGUGUGUUAGACGUUGGAAAUUUAUUUUCAGUGUCGCAGGGAAACCGAUAAACACACCGCCUGGGGAGUACGACCGCAAGGUUAAAACUCAAAUGAAUUGACGGGGACCCGCACAAGUAGUGGAGCAUGUGGUUUAAUUCGAAGAUACGCGCAGAACCUUACCAACACUUGACAUGUUCGUCGCGACUCUAAGAGAUUAGAGUUUUCGGUUCGGCUGGACGAAACACAGGUGCUGCAUGGCUGUCGUCAGCUCGUGUCGUGAGAUGUUGGGUUAAGUCCCGCAACGAGCGCAACCCUCACUUUUAGUUGCCAUCAUUAAGUUGGGCACUCUGAAAGAACUGCCAGUGAUAAGCUGGAGGAAGGUGGGGAUGACGUCAAGUCCUCAUGGCCCUUACGUGUUGGGCUACACACGUGCUACAAUGGCAUCUACAAUAGGAAGCAAAACGGCAACGUUAAGCAAAUCCCGAAAAGAUGCCUCAGUUCGGAUUGCACUCUGCAACUCGAGUGCAUGAAGCUGGAAUUACUAGUAAUCGUGGAUCAGCGUGCCACGGUGAAUGCGUUCCCGGGUCUUGUACACACCGCCCGUCACACCAUGGGAGUUGGUUCUACCUUAAGGCAAGGUUUUAAACCCUUGACCACGGUAUAGUCAGCGACUGGGGUGAAGUCGUAACAAGGUAACCAAGGGCG